rnacentral:rRNA from 1 species
GACGAACGCUGGCGGCGUGCUUAACACAUGCAAGUCGAACGAUGAAGCCGGAGCUUGCUCUGGUGAAUUAGUGGCGAACGGGUGAGUAACACGUGAGUAACCUGCCCUUGACUCUGGGAUAACUGCGGGAAACUGUAGCUAAUACCGGAUACGACCCUCGGAGGCAUCUCCUGGGGGUGGAAAGAAUUUCGGUCAAGGAUGGACUCGCGGCCUAGCAGCUAGUUGGUGAGGUAAAGGCUCACCAAGGGGACGACGGGUAGCCGGCCUGAGAGGGUGACCGGCCACACAGGGACUGAGAGACGGCCCAGACUCCUACAGGAGGCAGCAGUGGGGAAUACUGCACAAUGGGCGCAAGCCUGAUGCAGCAGCGCCGCGUGAGGGAUGACGAGCUUCGGGUUGUAAACCUCUUUUAGCAGGGAAGAAGCGAAAGUGACGGUACCUGCAGAAAAAGCACCGGCUAACUACGUGCCAGCCGCCGCCGUAA